GAUGAACGCUGGCGGCGUGCCUAAUACAUGCAAGUCGAGCGAACAGACGAGGAGCUUGCUCCUCUGACGUUAGCGGCGGACGGGUGAGUAACACGUGGAUAACCUACCUAUAAGACUGGGAUAACUUCGGGAAACCGGAGCUAAUACCGGAUAAUAUAUUGAACCGCAUGGUUCAAUAGUGAAAGACGGUUUUGCUGUCACUUAUAGAUGGAUCCGUGCCGCAUUAGCUAGUUGGUAAGGUAACGGCUUACCAAGGCGACGAUGCGUAGCCGACCUGAGAGGGUGAUCGGCCACACUGGAACUGAGACACGGUCCAGACUCCUACGGGAGGCAGCAGUAGGGAAUCUUCCGCAAUGGGCGAAAGCCUGACGGAGCAACGCCGCGUGAGUGAUGAAGGUCUUCGGAUCGUAAAACUCUGUUAUUAGGGAAGAACAAAUGUGUACGUAACUAUGCACGUCUUGACGGUACCUAAUCAGAAAGCCACGGCUAACUACGUG
rnacentral:rRNA from 1 species